rnacentral:rRNA from 1 species
CCUACGGGAGGCAGCAGUAGGGAAUUUUGCGCAAUGGGCGAAAGCCUGACGCAGCAACGCCGCGUGAUCGAGACGCCCUUCGGGGUUUAUAGAUCUGUCAUUUGAGACGACACUUGACGGUACCCACAGAGGAAGCACCGGCUAACUCCGUGCCAGCAGCCGCGGUAAUACGGGGGGUGCAAGCGUUGUCCGGAAUCAUUGGGCGUAAAGAGGUCGUAGGCGGCACGUAAAGUCUGGUGGUAAAGGUAGAGGAGCAAAUUCUGUACGGCAGUGGAUACUUGCGAGCUAGAGUGCGGUAGAGGUAAAGGGAAUGCGUGGUGUAGCGGUGAAAUGCUUAGAUAUCAGGAGGAACAUCGGUGGCGUAGGCGCUUUACUGGGCCGUAAUUGACGCUGAGGAACGAAAGCCAGGGUAGCAAAUGGGAUUAGAUACCCGUGUAGUC